rnacentral:rRNA from 1 species
CCUACGGGCGGCUGCAGUGGGGAAUAUUGGACAAUGGGCGAAAGCCUGAUCCAGCCAUGCCGCGUGUGUGAAGAAGGCCUUCGGGUUGUAAAGCACUUUCAGUGGGGAAGAAAGCCUUGGGGCUAAUACCCUCGAGGAAGGACAUCACCCACAGAAGAAGCACCGGCUAACUCCGUGCCAGCAGCCGCGGUAAUACGGAGGGUGCGAGCGUUAAUCGGAAUUACUGGGCGUAAAGCGCGCGUAGGCGGUCUGAUAAGCCGGUUGUGAAAGCCCCGGGCUCAACCUGGGAACGGCAUCCGGAACUGUCAGGCUAGAGUGCAGGAGAGGAAGGUAGAAUUCCCGGUGUAGCGGUGAAAUGCGUAGAGAUCGGGAGGAAUACCAGUGGCGAAGGCGGCCUUCUGGACUGACACUGACGCUGAGGUGCGAAAGCGUGGGUAGCAUACAGGAUUAGAUACCCGAGUAGUC